rnacentral:rRNA from 1 species
AUGGCACGCAACCCCGCCGGCUCCAUGGAUGUCUACGCAGUCAUCGUCCUUAACUGCUGUCUAGCGUCUGUGACCUCUGUUGGCCUCAUCAUGGUCUGCGCGGUUGGGGCGUCAAUCACGUGUUCAGCGGCAUGUCAGAGCAACUCUCUGGCCAGAACCCUGACUAUGUGCGCUUCAGAUUUUGGGAGAACACUGUUGUCCACGUUAUAUCAUAUACUUCCAAAUUAUAAAGCGUUCUUGUUGUAUGUGUCCCUGGUUUUAUUACCACUAGAACAUGUUGACCUAAUUGUCCAUGAUUUUGAGAGAACACUGUUGUCCACGUUAUAUCGUAUACUUCCAAAUUAUAAAGAGUUCUUGUUAUAUAUCCUGCCCACCUUGAAGUCAUAA